rnacentral:lncRNA from 12 species
AGAUGUGAUGUCUAAAGAUUCAGAAGACAUCUUGCAACAAUGAAGCAACCAGCAUGAAAAUGGUUGACAGAGAAAAAGGAAAGAAAGAUUUGGGUCAUUGAUCGUUGAGUUUCCAAAUUGCCUGUGAGACCUUUUAUUAAAGACAUAAUAAACAUUUUUACUCCACUGUUGGACAGGCUUCCCAGACUUACAGAGGAAUGAAAUGCUAACUAAUGUCCAGUCAAUCUUCAAUGAAUGAGAGCUCCUAUAAGCCCUUGGAGGCUUAUUCCAUAAUCUGUCUCUUAUUGCGCAUCUGCUUUCUCACUCAGAUGACCUUGAAAGUUCAGCCUCUUUAUCACGAUGUUUGCCAGACAUAGCUGUACAUUGUCACUGUGUAUCUGAACCCCAAUGAUUCUGCAUUUUGGUUCAGUUAAGAGAUGUUUUGUUUUGCCUGUUACCAGAGAAAUCAGCCUUUGAAUCAUGUGAAGUCCUUGGCCUGGAUCAGAAGCUGCAUGUAUAUUGUUCCUUUCCUCCUGUCUGCCCUGCUCAAACCAUACUUAUAAAGUAUUAUCAUCAACU